rnacentral:tRNA from 1 species
GCCUGGUUGGCUCAGUCAGUAGAGCAUGUAACUCUUGAUCUUGAGGUCAUGAGUUCAAGCCCCAUGUUGGGCG